CGAAUAUUUGCGUGAAACAUUUUUGUAUGAUUUUUAUUUCUGGAAAUCAAUCUGAAAUCUACAACAGUCCUUUUCCGAAAGUCGGGCUGGACCUUUACUUUUAUGUGCAUUCGGGAUUUACACAAAUUGUAACCCGAAUAAUUCAGUCGUAUUAUUCAGCUGAUGUACGAAUGCUACAUUUCUCGUGUGGGAGAAAAUCGGACACGGAAAGGGCUUGAAUUAUUCGAGUUACUCAAAUUGAAACUCGGGAAUAUAUUUCUAACUGUUCGGAAUUCGCGGAAACAAAUGAUUGUUUUUUCGCAUUACGGUAUUGAAUCAAUAUGAGUCAGAGAUACCAAUUAUUUCUUUUAACAAAUUCGAAUACCAGUCAGUUUAUAGGACCUCAGUUUGAAAUAGGGGCGGCAAUCCAUUCAUUUUAUCCAAUCAAUUGGAGGGGGGGUCAACAUUGAUAGUUCAAAAAGGCCUUGAAAUAUUCGAUAAAAACGUUGAAUGUAAAUUAUAUGAACUCCAAAGUCUCAUAUUAUAAGACUAGUAAACCACAGUCUUCUCAAUUCUUGUAUGAUCAUGAACUAGGUGAAAACCUAGAGCUAACCGAGUGCGAGAUCCUCAUGGAUAAUCAUCGAGGUCGUUAAACACCCCUUGCAGUAAACUUGGGUUAAAUUUUAAAAAAAAAUCUAAAUGUAAUAGUCGGAACACAUUUCACCUCUCAUUUCACUAAAUAUUAAAUUGCAGUUACAAGUAUCACAAAACUUCCCUGACCUCUUUUCUUUAACCAUAAUAGAGGGAGGAGGGAAGGAGGGAUCCAGAUCCCGAAAUCCCGGGCUUAAAAACACGAAAUACCGAGGUCCCGAAUUUGAAAAAAAAUUAAAUCCCGAAAAGGUCAAUUCCGAAAUCCCGAGCUUAAAAACACUCGAUCCCGGAGUUCCGAUAAAGGUCCUACUCUCCCCCUCCCCCGUAAUUCUAUAUUCUAUUCAUUCAUUAUCUUGAAUUGAGACUUGAUACUUCAAAAUUACAUUCUCUAAUUUUGUAUGCUGCACACAGGCAC
rnacentral:lncRNA from 1 species